GGGGUAAUGGCUCAGUUGGUAGAGCGCAUCCUUAGCAGUCGCAAUUGGAUGAGGUCCCGUGUUCGAUUCGCGGUUACUCCA